GCAAACGAACUGAGCUUCUUUAUCCAGAAUUCGAUCUUUUGUUUAUGAGAAACCUUCAGAAUUCGAUCUCUGUGUGUGUGUGUGAGAGAGAGUGGCCCCUUCACUGGGCCUGGCCGAAGGCCCAACUGUUUUUGAGGGAGGCCGAAGGCCCAACUUAGUUUACUGACUUCUUUCUUCAUGCUUGUCUGCCGAUCGGUGCACCUCGCCGCCCCGCUUCGGCGGCCGGCAGUGCCGCCGUCGACCUCUCCCGCCGCCGCGCGGCGUUGGAGCACCCCCUACCAAAACACGAGAUAAUUCCGCCCCGCCUCCCACCACAGCCCCGCACCACCUCGCCUACCACCACCGCCCCGCACGAGCGCCCAUUCGCCAACCCUCGUCGGGGCCGCCGGUCGACAGAGCAGCCACGGCCACGAGUCUCUGGGAAAGGUACGCAUUUCUUAGGCCGUCUCUUCAAUCUUAAAUCUGAUUGUUUUUUAGUACAAUGGGAGUGGAAAGAGAUAUGCGACCUCGUUAUGUCUUCAUCUGUAAAACGGGGCAGAUUCAUUGGCCGCCUUAUUUAUUUAAUUCGGCAAUUGCUAUAUGAAAGUGAUAUCUGUUUGUCUGAGGUGUGGUGUCCUUAUCUUAUACUGUAUACAUGUGGUCUGAUCAAUCAAGAUGUUGACCCCGUUCCACGCGUUCUGUUGACAGGGAAUUUGUGCACUCCUUUCGUCUUCUUUUCCAAAGUCACAAUCGAUUUCCCAGACAGAUGUUA
rnacentral:lncRNA from 1 species